AUUGAACGCUGGCGGCAGGCCUAACACAUGCAAGUCGAGCGGAUGAAGGGAGCUUGCUCCUGGAUUCAGCGGCGGACGGGUGAGUAAUGCCUAGGAAUCUGCCUGGUAGUGGGGGAUAACGUCCGGAAACGGGCGCUAAUACCGCAUACGUCCUGAGGGAGAAAGUGGGGGAUCUUCGGACCUCACGCUAUCAGAUGAGCCUAGGUCGGAUUAGCUAGUUGGUGGGGUAAAGGCCUACCAAGGCGACGAUCCGUAACUGGUCUGAGAGGAUGAUCAGUCACAGUGGAACUGAGACACGGUCCAGACUCCUACGGGAGGCAGCAGUGGGGAAUAUUGGACAAUGGGCGAAAGCCUGAUCCAGCCAUGCCGCGUGUGUGAAGAAGGUCUUCGGAUUGUAUAGCACUUUAAGUUGGGAGGAAGGGCAGUAAGUUAAUACCUGGCUGUUUUGACGUUACCAACAGAAUAAGCACCGGCUAACUUCGUG
rnacentral:rRNA from 1 species